ACUUCUAGUUUUGUACUAGUAGUACGUACUAGCUAGUGAUGCAUGUUGAAUCUGCGUGUUGCAGGCUGAGGGUGAGCAUCCCCGGGCAACCUUCCCGAUGCGUCGUCGCCGGCGAGGCUGCUUGUGCAAUUACACAAGUAUAUGCAUUUUUUGUGCUCCAAUGCAACUGCAGACGUUUCUAGACGGGUGCGUAUGUAGAGGCACGAAAAAAAUACGCUUACAUUCUUCCGACGAAAAAAAUACGCUUACACCAAAAUAGUGAACUUCCUAGAGCCUAAACCCUAGAAAGUUAGCCCUAAACUCUAGGAAGUUAGCUAAACUCUCGGAAGUUAAGCCAUCCCGUCGGAAGUUUGGCUCUCGAAAAUUUUUUGUCGGAAGUUAGCUUAACUUCCUAGAGCCCUCUAGGAAGUUACCUAACUUCCUACAGCCAAAGAAGCCUCUCGGAAGUUAGUAGGUUCUCGCAAGUUAGUAGCUUCACGCCGUCAGCGCCGUCAGCUAACUAACUUCCUACGGCUGACUGUAGCCCCUAGGAAGUUAGUUGGCGAACUUCCUACGCCUGAUUGUAGCCACUAACUUCCUACAGCUGACUGUAGCCCAUAGGAAGUUUGCUGGCUAACUUCCUACGGCCCAAUUGGCCUCUAGGAAGUUAACUUGACCAGCAUUACAAAUGCUGUUUAUUUUUAUUUUACACCACAUUCCACAAUAUAACAAAUAUAUCAACAGCUAUAUAGCACAACAUAUUUUCACAUAAAACAUCUCAUACACAAUCACAUAACAAUAUUUAAAUCCAUAGUCUCAUCAAUUACAUCACAAAAGUCUCAUCCAUAGUCAUAAUAAGACACAUCUCAUCCAGUCAUAAUAAAAGACAAUAUCUCAUACAUAGUCAUAAUAAAAAUCUCAAGUAUCACAACACAUAACAUUGAAGCUCACGAUCGCCGAUCACCAUCGGGGUACAGUGACGAGUGAUGGUCGAUACCUCCACUAGCGAAGAGGGUUUCAACAAAGUCUAACUCGUCUUCUCGUUGAUGCGUCGGCAAGGUAGCUAGAGGGGCCUAAUAUACAUGUACAAAUGGUAUUUGCUGAGUUACAUUAUAAUAUAACUAACAACAAGUAAAUGAUGAUGAAUUUGCAUACCUGAUGUUCGGUAGGUGGAGAUGUAGGUGUAGGUGGAGGUGAAGACCAAGGAUAAUGUAUGGGAGGUAUAAACAAUAAAAAAAUCCAUGCUAACACACUAAAAGAAGUAUAUAAUGCAGUAGGUUAGGUCUGUAAGCAAAAGAAUAAAUAUCCAACAUUUAGAUCUAAACCAUGUGCAGAAGUAGAAUUCACUUCAUUUAGUGCAUUAUGUACAAAGGCAACAGGACAUAGGACUAAAAACGUAUUCACCUAGACUAGGAUGAACGACAAAGCCACUCCACCAGAAGGUGCGUUUCCUGAACCAUACAAUUGCUCAUUUUGUUGAAUCAGGUUUUGCAAACCUACAUACUUGAUAUGCCAAAAAAAAGCCCACAGAUACGAAAGUCACAAAUUGGUAGUUGAUAAUAAAUAGUGGUUGUAAGAAAAGGCAAGCAUAAAAUACAAAGAAAUAAUUAUUGCACAUGUUUUCUGUGAAUCAAUACUUUGACAAUUGACAAAUAAAGUUAGGAAUGAUGAUGGCACACCAAGUUUUCAGUAAAACUAGAAAAAGAG
rnacentral:lncRNA from 1 species